GACGCUGGCGGCGUGCCUAAUACAUGCAAGUCGAACGGUCUUUUCUAUGGAAGCUUGCUUCCACUGAGAAGAUAGUGGCGAACGGGUGAGUAACACGUGGGUAACCUGCCCAUAAGAGGGGGAUAACAUCCGGAAACGGGUGCUAAUACCGCAUAGUUUUCUUGAUCGCAUGAUUGAGAAAGGAAAGACGGCCUUUGUGCUGUCGCUUAUGGAUGGACCCGCGGCGUAUUAGUUAGUUGGUGAGGUAACGGCUCACCAAGACGAUGAUACGUAGCCGACCUGAGAGGGUGAUCGGCCACAUUGGGACUGAGACACGGCCCAAACUCCUACGGGAGGCAGCAGUAGGGAAUCUUCCGCAAUGGACGAAAGUCUGACGGAGCAACGCCGCGUGAGUGAAAGAAGGUUUUCGGAUCGUAAAACUCUGUUGUCAGAGAAGAACAAGUUGGAGAGUAACUGCUCCAGCCUUGACGGUAUCUGACCAGAAAGCCACGGCUAACUACGUGCCAGCCGCCGC
rnacentral:rRNA from 1 species